rnacentral:rRNA from 1 species
UACGAAGGGGGCUAGCGUUGCUCGGAAUCACUGGGCGUAAAGCGCACGUAGGCGGGUCUUUAAGUCAGGGGUGAAAUCCUGGGGCUCAACUCCAGAACUGCCUUUGAUACUGAGGAUCUCGAGUCCGGGAGAGGUGAGUGGAACUCCGAGUGUAGAGGUGAAAUUCGUAGAUAUUCGGAAGAACACCAGUGGCGAAGGCGGCUCACUGGCCCGGUACUGACGCUGAGGUGCGAAAGCGUGGGGAGCAAACAGG